rnacentral:rRNA from 1 species
CGGAAAUCGUACGUAGAGUGUAAAGGCAAAAGAGAGCUUGAUUGCAAGACAUACAGGUCGAGCAAGGAUGAAAAUCGGACUUAGUGAUCCGGUGGUUCUGCGUGGAAGGGCCAUCGCGCAACGGAUAAAAGCUACCCUGGGGAUAACAGGCUUAUCUCCCCCAAGAGUCCACAUCGACGGGGAGGUUUGGCACCUCGAUGUCGGCUCAUCACAUCCUGGGGCUGUAGUAGGUCCCAAGGGUUGGG